UUCUACCUCUGUCGUUCCCUCUCGCGAUUGCAUAGGCGGCGGCGAUCGUGGGGGCUUGCCUUUUCUUCGAUUGGCAGAGGAGGACGGCGGUGUUCAUGCUGUUGUGCGUGCUGUCGCCGGAGUUUUCUUUCUCGCAUCGGCCUCUCUGAUCUGCUGGGUGUGUGGAGGCGUGGAGGGCAGUGGCUGGUCGUGGGGUUUACUCUGCUUCUUCGGCUCCCUGUGUCGUGUUGAAGGGCAAGUGUUCAAGUCUAGGAGUUGUCUACAAGUCUGCAGCUAUGUUGAAUGACCAAUUUCACGACAUUGUUGUGUUUCCAAACCACAUAUCUGACCUCUCAUAACAUAUAUUCUUUUACUAGCAGUAUCUUCCUAUUGUAGUCAAUGAGCUGCCAUACCAGUCCAUGUUGCUGCCAGCUUCAAGCUUUUCCAAAAAUUCACUAUCAUAUAUUUUCUGAUAUCUUCUAUAAUGCUCUAUUCAUGUAAAUGUACUUGCCCUUUUGUGUCUUGCAGAUAUGCGGAUCUGUACAUUACUUAGAUGAUGGUUUUUGUUCCGUUUUAUAAAAGAAUUGGCAAAGAAAUCAUCAUGGUCAACAUUGUUACUGAAUUUUGUUAUGGAUGUACUGAUUACAUUGCAUAUUGUGGAGUCAUAUGUUCAAGGAUCGGAGGAGUCUUCUUCUACAUGAUUACUGCUUUUGUGGCGGUUUUUUUGUUUAAUCUAUUGAAAAGUUUGUCAGUUCUCUCAACUUCUCAUCCAACAGGAAAUUCUCAGCUGAAGCUUGCUGUAGUAUGGAUUUAUUAUCUACUGAAUUGGGCAUUGUGAGCUGUUGAUUGACUAAAGAGGCAGCCCUCGGAAGAUUUUUUAUUAUUUCUCCAGUAAGUGAAUUCCUUCGAGCAACAGUAGUUAUUUUCGGGAUUUAUUUGAUGGAUGAUCUAGA